GCAGAUGUCCGCUAACACUGAGCCUGAGUGAUUGCUUGUUGUGGGAACUGUUGAGAUUCUCCCGAAUCUUUGGAGAUGAGGAGUGGAUGCCUCAUCUGCAUAGCUUUGCUGCUGUAGGAGUCCAGCCUUCUGGGGCAGGACACAGGCCGGCACCACACCAGGGGAUGGAUAGUAGCCCCAAAAUGGAGAAGCAAGGUUCAGGGGACAUCACACCUGAUCUCUUGUGAACCACCUCAAAGACGUCCACAUGCAUGAAGAAUAUCCACUGAAACCAACAGUGGUUGUAGCCAGUCUGAAAAAUUCAGGUUCAAAAUGACUUCAAAGGAUCCUGAAGGAUGUGGAGAAGUUGAGCCCGCACCACCAGACUUUGGAGUCGUUUCACAAUGUUGUCCUACGGUUUGCCUCAAAUAAUUUAUUGAGUUGAUUUGCCCUGCAAGGGCCCUAUGUUUGAUUGACCUGCUGUGCAAAGUCUCAGUUCGGUAAUUUACACGGAUUUCUUUGUUUUUCACGUUUUACCUGUCUGCAAUGCACAUCAAUGAAAAUGCUGAUCACCCUAAAGCAGCAGCUUUUCAGGGAAUAUCUGAAGGCAAAGAAGGGGCACUGCGCAGCAUAGUCAGGGAGAACAGGGCCAACAUAAAGUUACAUCCAGAAAAUGAUGGAGGUCCUGUUUGACCAAGUAUUUAAAGACUCUGCACCAAACGUUUAGAAGAGGUCAUCGCUGGCUGUGUGAGUCGUUUCAGCCGAGGGGCGGUCGAAAGCCAACGUAACUGCUGCCAUCAUCAGGGAACUCCUCGUGUAUGUGAAUACAAUAGGGCAGCCAUUCCCAAACUUAAGAAGGCCCACCCACACCUUUAAUCACAAAUAUAUGAUCCACACACAGGACUAGAAUCAUACAUAUUAUUAAUUUGAUAGCAAAAAUAAUUGUAUAUGAAUGCAGGCAUAUGCAGUGCAAAUACCAAUAACAUCCACAUUUAAGCGUAACGAUUUGCAAAGCAAACAAUGUAAAAAAAAAACAUUAAGUGCAAAUAGGGUAUUGUUAAAAUAUAUUUUUACUGUUUGUAGAACAGAUCACGACAAGGAUAUCCGGGAGAAGACAAACGUAUUUGAGGCAUAACCAAAUAUACUUGAGGCGUUUCAGCCCCUCCCCCCCCCCAAAAAAAAACAUGGGUCUUGUUAUCUAACAUCUAAGCGCACAGCACACACAGGCUUGGGGCUCGUCCUCUGGGCCUGCAACUGAUCCUCACUUGAGUCCUUUCUGCGAGUCCUCUUUUUAGUUUUGAAUGAUUCAGUUUGACUUUCUGAUUCCCCAUCGUCAUUAGCAGCUUUCCUCUGCUCCAUCUUGCUCGACCCAGCACACAACAAAGUUCUCCCUCACCUAUGAUUCCCCACUAAUGAUGCGUUCAAGUGUUAAUGUGACGGUCAGCAAAUACAACACCUGCUAAAUAGGUCAAAUAAAAUAAGGACAAUAUGGAAUUUGAUUCUCAUGUCUUUGUUUCAUUACCUGUGAUAUAACUUUGUUUUGAAUCAAUCAUAAAUGUU